AAUAUACUCCCUCCGUUUGGAAUUACUUGUCUCGAAAAUGGAUGUAUCUAGAACUAAAAUACAUCUAGAUACAUCCAUUUUCGAGACAAGUAAUUUCGAACGGAGGGAGUAGAUA
rnacentral:pre_miRNA from 1 species